GAUGAACGCUGGCGGCGUGCCUAAUACAUGCCAGUCGAGCGAACAGACGAGGAGCUUGCUCCUCUGACGUUAGCGGCGGACGGGUGAGUAACACGUGGAUAACCUACCUAUAAGACUGGGAUAACUUCGGGAAACCGGAGCUAAUACCGGAUAAUAUAUUGAACCGCAUGGUUCAAUAGUGAAAGACGGUUUUGCUGUCACUUAUAGAUGGAUCCGCGCCGCAUUAGCUAGUUGGUAAGGUAACGGCUUACCAAGGCAACGAUGCGUAGCCGACCUGAGAGGGUGAUCGGCCACACUGGAACUGAGACACGGUCCAGACUCCUACGGGAGGCAGCAGUAGGGAAUCUUCCGCAAUGGGCGAAAGCCUGACGGAGCAACGCCGCGUGAGUGAUGAAGGUUUUCGGAUCGUAAAACUCUGUUAUUAGGGAAGAACAAAUGUGUAAGUAACUAUGCACGUCUUGACGGUACCUAAUCAGAAAGCCACGGCUAACUACGUG
rnacentral:rRNA from 1 species